UAUUUGGUUGGUGCAAAAGUAAUUGCGGUUUUUGCCAUUGAAAGUAAUGGCAAAAACCGCAAUUACUUUAGCACCAACCUAAUG
rnacentral:pre_miRNA from 1 species